rnacentral:rRNA from 1 species
AUGGCCCGCAAUUGCCAACUAAAUAAUAGGUGGGUUGUUCCUUACAACCCCUAUCUGUUAAGGAUGUUCAACUGCCACAUAAAUGUUGAGAUAUGCUCAAGCAUUAAAGCCGUUAAGUACCUCUUCAAGUACAUCUACAAGGGUCAUGACCGAGUAUCUGUGUCAGUAACUGACAAAGUGGACGAAGUCGAAAUCGAUGAGAUUAAACAGUACAAAGACGCACGGUGGGUGACGCCUCCGAAAGCACUGUGGAGAAUAUAUGGCUUUGAACUAAGCAAAAUGCACCCACCUGUCUUGCAACUGCAGCUACAUCUCCCAAAUAUGCACAUGGUUUCAUAUCAUGGUAUGGAAAAAAUAAAGAAUGUUAUCAACCGUGAUGGCACAGAAAGAUCAAUGUUGACAGCGUACUUUGAAGCAAACAACUUAUAUGAGAAAGCACGAGGCAUACUAUACAGAGACUUUCCAGAAUAUUAUACUUGGCAAAGACGAGGGAAGUCUUGGCAAGAGAGGAAGCGAGCCGCUGUGUUCCAGGUUGGCAGGAUCGUCUCAGCACACCCGGCUGAAGGAGAACGAUACUAUCUUCGAGUUCUCCUAAACCACGUGACAGGCGCCACCAGCUACGAAGACCUACGAACAGUCGAUGGACAAGUAAUGCCAACCUUCCGUGAAGCUGCAGAAAAACGGGGGCUCAUUGAGGCAGACAACACACUAGAUGAUUGCAUGACAGAAGCAGAGUUGUUUCGGAUGCCAUCAUCGCUCAGAAGGUUAUUCACGACAAUCUUGGUUUUUUGCGAGCCAAGCGACGUCCGUAACCUCUGGAACAAUCACCUAGAGGCAAUGUCAGAAGACUACAGCAGAAACUGCAAAUGCAAGCACACGGUCGAACAGAUGGUUCUGAAAAAUAUCAGAGACAUGUUGCACUCAAUGGGGAAAGACAUAGAAUCGUUUCCUCUUCCAGAUAUCGACAAAUAG